rnacentral:rRNA from 1 species
AGAGUUUGAUCCUGGCUCAGGACGAACGCUGGCGGCGCGCCUAACACAUGCAAGUCGAACGAGAGAGAAGGAGCUUGCUUCUUCGAUCGAGUGGCGAACGGGUGAGUAACGCGUGAGGAACCUGCCUCAAAGAGGGGGACAACAGUUGGAAACGACUGCUAAUACCGCAUAAGCCCACGGGUCGGCAUCGACCAGAGGGAAAAGGAGCAAUCCGCUUUGAGAUGGCCUCGCGUCCGAUUAGCUAGUUGGUGAGGUAACGGCCCACCAAGGCGACGAUCGGUAGCCGGACUGAGAGGUUGAACGGCCACAUUGGGACUGAGACACGGCCCAGACUCCUACGGGAGGCAGCAGUGGGGAAUAUUGCACAAUGGGGGAAACCCUGAUGCAGCGACGCCGCGUGGAGGAAGAAGGUCUUCGGAUUGUAAACUCCUGUUGUUGAGGAAGAUAAUGACGGUACUCAACAAGGAAGUGACGGCUAACUACGUGCCAGCAGCCGCGGUAAAACGUAGGUCACAAGCGUUGUCCGGAAUUACUGGGUGUAAAGGGAGCGCAGGCGGGAAGACAAGUUGGAAGUGAAAUCCAUGGGCUCAACCCAUGAACUGCUUUCAAAACUGUUUUUCUUGAGUAGUGCAGAGGUAGGCGGAAUUCCCGGUGUAGCGGUGGAAUGCGUAGAUAUCGGGAGGAACACCAGUGGCGAAGGCGGCCUACUGGGCACCAACUGACGCUGAGGCUCGAAAGUGUGGGUAGCAAACAGGAUUAGAUACCCUGGUAGUCCACACCGUAAACGAUGAUUACUAGGUGUUGGAGGAUUGACCCCUUCAGUGCCGCAGUUAACACAAUAAGUAAUCCACCUGGGGAGUACGACCGCAAGGUUGAAACUCAAAGGAAUUGACG